GACGAACGCUGGCGGCGUGCUUAACACAUGCAAGUCGAACGAAGAGCGAUGGAAGCUUGCUUCUAUCAAUCUUAGUGGUGAACGGGUGAGUAACGCGUAAUCAACCUGCCCUUCAGAGGGGGACAACAGUUGGAAACGACUGCUAAUACCGCAUACGAUCUAAUCUCGGCAUCGAUGAUAGAUGAAAGGUGGCCUCUACAUGUAAGCUAUCACUGAAGGAGGGGAUUGCGUCUGAUUAGCUAGGUGGAGGGGUCACGGCCCACCAAGGCGAUGAUCAGUAGCCGGUCUGAGAGGAUGAACGGCCACAUUGGGACUGAGACACGGCCCAGACUCCUACGGGAGGCAGCAGGGGGGAAUCUUCCGCAAUGGACGAAAGUCUGACGGAGCAACGCCGCGGGAGUGAUGACGGCCUUCGGGUUGUAAAGCUCUGUUAAUCGGGACGAAAGGCCUUCUUGCGAAUAGUGAGAAGGAUUGACGGUACCGGAAUAGAAAGCCACGGCUAACUACGUG
rnacentral:rRNA from 1 species